rnacentral:rRNA from 1 species
CCUUGUGGGGUACUCGAGUGGCGAACGGGUGAGUAACACGUGAGUAACCUACCCUUGACUUUGGGAUAACUUCAGGAAACUGGGGCUAAUACCGGAUAGGAGCUCCUGCUGCAUGGUGGGGGUUGGAAAGUUUCGGCGGUUGGGGAUGGACUCGCGGCUUAUCAGCUUGUUGGUGGGGUAGUGGCUUACCAAGGCUUUGACGGGUAGCCGGCCUGAGAGGGUGACCGGCCACAUUGGGACUGAGAUACGGCCCAG